rnacentral:rRNA from 1 species
UACGUAGGGUCCGAGCGUUGUCCGGAUUUAUUGGGCGUAAAGAGCUCGUAGGCGGUUCCGUAAGUCAGAUGUGAAAACUCAGGGCUCAACCCGGAGACGCCAUCUGAUACUGCGGUGCCUGGAGUCUGGUAGGGGAACACGGAAUUCCUGGUGUAGCGGUGAAAUGCGCAGAUAUCAGGAGGAACACCGAUGGCGAAGGCAGUGUUCUGGGCCAGUACUGACGCUGAGGAGCGAAAGCGUGGGGAGCAAACAGG